CCCGGGGGGUUGCCAAAACAUGCAAGUCGAGCGGACAGAUGGGAGCUUGCUCCCUGAUGUUAGCGGCGGACGGCCUGAGUAACACGUGGGUAACCUGCCUGUAAGACUGGGAUAACUCCGGGAAACCGGGGCUAAUACCGGAUGGUUGUUUGAACCGCAUGGUUCAGACAUAAAAGGUGGCUUCGGCUACCACUUACAGAUGGACCCGCGGCGCAUUAGCUAGUUGGUGAGGUAACGGCUCACCAAGGCGACGAUGCGUAGCCGACCUGAGAGGGUGAUCGGCCACACUGGGACUGAGACACGGCCCAGACUCCUACGGGAGGCAGCAGUAGGGAAUCUUCCGCAAUGGACGAAAGUCUGACGGAGCAACGCCGCGUGAGUGAUGAAGGUUUUCGGAUCGUAAAGCUCUGUUGUUAGGGAAGAACAAGUGCCGUUCAAAUAGGGCGGCACCUUGACGGUACCUAACCAGAAAGCCACGGCUAACUACGUGCCAGCAGCCGCGGUAAUACGUAGGUGGCAAGCGUUGUCCGGAAUUAUUGGGCGUAAAGGGCUCGCAGGCGGUUUCUUAAGUCUGAUGUGAAAGCCCCCGGCUCAACCCGGGGAGGGUCAUUGGAAACUGGGGAACUUGAGUGCAGAAGAGGAGAGUGGAAUUCCACGUGUAGCGGUGAAAUGCGUAGAGAUGUGGAGGAACACCAGUGGCGAAGGCGACUCUCUGGUCUGUAACUGACGCUGAGGAGCGAAAGCGUGGGGAGCGAACAGGAUUAGAUACCCUGGUAGUCCACGCCGUAAACGAUGAGUGCUAAGUGUUAGGGGGUUUCCGCCCCUUAGUGCUGCAGCUAACGCAUUAAGCACUCCGCCUGGGGAGUACGGUCGCAAGACUGAAACUCAAAGGAAUUGACGGGGGCCCGCACAAGCGGUGGAGCAUGUGGUUUAAUUCGAAGCAACGCGAAGAACCUUACCAGGUCUUGACAUCCUCUGACAAUCCUAGAGAUAGGACGUCCCCUUCGGGGGCAGAGUGACAGGUGGUGCAUGGUUGUCGUCAGCUCGUGUCGUGAGAUGUUGGGUUAAGUCCCGCAACGAGCGCAACCCUUGAUCUUAGUUGCCAGCAUUCAGUUGGGCACUCUAAGGUGACUGCCGGUGACAACCCGGAGGAA
rnacentral:rRNA from 1 species